CCUACGGGAGGCAGCAGUGGGGAAUUUUGGACAAUGGGCGCAAGCCUGAUCCAGCCAUGCCGCGUGCGGGAAGAAGGCCUUCGGGUUGUAAACCGCUUUUGGCAGGGAAGAAAAGGUUCUGGCUAAUACCUGGUACUCAUGACGGUACCUGAAGAAUAAGCACCAGCUAACUACGUGCCAGCAGCCGCGGUAAUACGUAGGGUGCAAGCGUUAAUCGGAAUUACUGGGCGUAAAGCGUGCGCAGGCGCUUAUGCAAGACAGAGGUGAAAUCCCCGGGCUCAACCUGGGAACUGCCUUUGUGACUGCAUGGCUAGAGUACGGUAGAGGGGGAUGGAAUUCCGCGUGUAGCAGUGAAAUGCGUAGAUAUGCGGAGGAACACCGAUGGCGAAGGCAAUCCCCUGGACCUGUACUGACGCUCAUGCACGAAAGCGUGGGGAGCAAACAGGAUUAGAUACCCUGGUAGUC
rnacentral:rRNA from 1 species